GCUCCUGUAACCUUUUGUAUAUAUUAGGAUUUUAUGGGGACUUAAAAUCCCUCGUCCUUUGGACGUGCCGGUUCGACCCCGGCUCGGGGCACCA
rnacentral:tRNA from 2 species